rnacentral:lncRNA from 1 species
UCCAGAAGAUUUAGAGAAGAGCAGCCGUGUGUGUACGAGCAGCGUCUCCAGGCAUCAGACCUGUCAGCUGCUGUCCUGCCAAGCUUCACGUGCGUCCUGUCCCCGCGCCUCAGCAGAGAGCCACGUGGAUGUUUCCUUGCUGCCUGCGGCCCACGGAGGCCUUGACUGCUAGCCACUUCAGGUCUCAGAGCGGUGAUGACACAGAUGACCUUUCCAGGGUCCUUUUGACUUUGGGGAGGAGCCAGAAGUUGCCUGGUGCCAGAUCUGGUGAUUAAGGCGGCUGGGGACACAGCAUCAUGUUUGUAUUUGACAGACAUUGCCAUAAAUGACUUGAAUUGAUUCAGGACAUCAAGGCAGCCCCGAGAAUGCAACCAAAGAUACUCACAAAAGAGAACUUCAGAACUGCUUCAGAAGCGGAAGGAAUGAUAGGCAUUGAGAAACUGACUGAGACACUGAUGGACAAAGAUGUUCUCCGUUUCACCUCCAAAACCAAUUCUGGUCUGGAUUCAGUGAGAAGGAUUAAGAUGGUGCCUAUAAUGUUUCUCUACUGUAAAGGAUUGUGGGUGAUCAUCUUC